rnacentral:sRNA from 1 species
UUUUAGCCCCGAUAGAAGUGGAAAUCCUUUUUAUUUUUUCUUUAAAAAUAAAAAGAUUACUUCACUUAACUUUUAUUUUAAGCGGAGUUCAGUGAACUUCGUUUGAAACGGAUAGCGGGUAUUAUG